ACACUUUGGUUCUGAAGCUGAAGAAGAGGCCCUGAAAAUGAGCUGUUACUCUAAGGUUUAAUGUUUUGGAGCAGGACCCUGUUCGGCCAGCAGGGGGCGCAAGCACAAAGAUGAUGGUCAAAAGUUAAGGGACUAAGAAUGGAUUCACGUUCAGAUAUUUACUAAAACAGAUGUCACUAACAUUCAUUUAAGAGGAAUUUGUUUUGCUUCAGAUAAGUUUUCUUCAGCGUUAUUGUAAACUUCUAAACAGGUUUUUUAAAAUGAUUUAUUUAUUCUGAAUAGUUGUAGAUGUUAGUUUUCCGCCAAGUUUUUAUACAUUUUUCAGAUUGACGAGGUGUGAAGAUGAUUGUUUUACCUGACCAGACCAGAAAAAACAAACAUGUUGGAUUAAGAAAUGUUUUCACACCCAACGAGGGUCCAGCAGGAGGUCAAAGUUGUAGGUAAAAACAAAACAGAAAAAUAGAUAUUUACAGUUCUUUAAACAAUAAUUAAACACUGAUUUGUUCAAAUUAAGCAUGAAGUGAAACCGUCUGCUCAAAAUAGUCCUUUGGUUAAAAGAGAGGCAACCAACAUAAUCCAAAACAUCGUUUGUCCUGCAGUGAACAAAGAUCCACCAUUUUCUGUCUUUGGAAGAUAAAGUCCUCUGGGUAAAUAUCUCAAACACAGAACUGAGGGCACAGAGGGACAGUUGUGGUUUGAGAGAUAAACUUUAACACUGAGCUCUAAAAUCUUUUCAAAUCUCAUAUUUCCAUAAACAGUGAAAAAAAUAUUCACCCUGAUGAUUGUUACACUUAUAGAUCAAGCUAUCUAGUUAUUCACUUUAUUGAUCGUGUGUACAACACUUUGAUUAACUGCUGUCUUCUUAAAGGUGCUUUAGAAAUAAACUUGACUUAAUCCUGAAAUCAUUGUGAUUCUGAGUUUGGCCAUCAUCGAGCAGCCCUAGUUAUGAUAAACACCUAAAGCCUUGAAUGACUUCCACCGCUGAUCAGAUAAAAAAUCCAAAGUUUCAGUAAAAGUUCAAACUCUCUUAAAAAAGGACCAAAAGUUCGACUCUUUUCUAAUAACUGAGCGGGAGCAGAGAGCGUGAUUCGCUCUUUUCUAAAUCUAAAGUGUGUUAAAAUGCGUCUUUGUGUUUACAGAGGUCUUUGGAGGGUGUUUAGGUUUGAGUCAGGAAUAAGGAAGGAUGUUUAAAUAAAAGAUUACUGAGUUUUCCUGUGAAACCGCAGACUAAAGGUUUGGAGACAUGCCUUAGGAACUGAGUUUGUCUUCAGGUAUGAUAAACACACUUUAGACUGAGAAGAAAAGUUUGAUUCUGGUGGGUUUGUGUCCUCCGGCUCUCUGCAGGUAAACCAGCUGUGAUGUUCAGUCCAGGUAAACCUCCACAGAGAGAACCAGACUGACUGACAGACAGCAGCUCCAUCCAUCCUCGCUCUGCAGCAGAUCCUCUUUCAGUCCAGGUCCCGUGUUUGUUGUCACUCCCCGCGGCCUACAAGCUAAAACGUUGUCUUUCACGUCUCUCCUGUCUAACUUUACCCCUCCCCCCCCUCAAAGCUUCUCCUCCCUCUGCUGUUUCUUCUCCAGCGUCGGCGCUCUGAAACGUGAGACCAUCCAUUAAGCCGGACAGGAAGGUCUUGACGGGAGGUCAGGCCCUCGUCUGCAGGGCACACUGCAGCAGGUCUGGUCAGAGCCAAGGUCAACACCGAGCGUGUGCGUGUGUGUGUGUGUGGACACGAAACCCAACAGACAUCACUCGAACAAUAAAAGAGACAGAAGAAGAAGAAGAAGAAGAGUCCAGCACGCCCCCCGCCGUCCUCCAGGUUUGAUAAAUGGUCUCUCUUUGGUGUUUAAAUGUGGGACACCUUUCUAAUCUCUCCAUCGGUGAUGCUCCGCCUGCAGGUCACACAAAUACUGACGAUACAGCCCUCCGCCAAACUCUUAGUUAUCAUAUAAACAACAUUAAUCAUGGAUCAGACGAGCAGGAUGGUGCGUGGCAGCGUCGGUGCCCCCAGCAUGUUUUAGAGUGGCACCACUCGAGAGGAACAAACCCUGAAACCCUCUGAAGAGAGAUUAAUGAGAACCCAGAACCCGCUCCGCACAAACCAGCGCUCUCUUUUUCAGGAGCGGAAUCAACAAACGAUCAAACCCGAUUUAUUGACUUUACACUUCUGAAAUGAUACUGUAGGAGAUUCUGACUACAUCAAGAUGAGGGAUUCCACCGCAUGCAGAUCCGCUCCGUUAGAUCAAAUACUCAAGCAUACAGCGCCCACCGGAUCCAACCGGUAUUACCGAUUUUUCUCAUGAAACUGGACGAGCUCUUACGUGUUUCACCGUGAGACAUAAAUGAGAUCAGCGCUGUAUUUUAACACCCUGGCUCCUCCCAUUAUCACGUGAAUUACAGUUCAGUAUAUUAACUUUAUUUUAUUUUGAAAAUUAAAUGGAUAUUUUACUCUGUAGCCGCAUUAAACUUCCACUCAUGCUGCACUGACAUGAUGAUUUGUGCUGCAACCUGAUAAAACUGAAACCUUGCGUAUCUAAUCGGGCCGCCGGAGCCGAUCCACAGCGGAAGUAUUGUUUGGAAUCACGCACAUUGAUUAUUAUGCUUGUGUUUUUGAUCAGGCAGCUGUUCUGUAUCCUGUGGAAUUUAGCCGUAAGGAUGUAUGCUGAUUUCGAGUUACCAUGGAAGUCAGAUAUCAGAGCUGAAAACGACGUCACACCCGAGUCCCCAGCGUUUCAGUCACCAAGUCGGACAAAAGCAAAAUCAGAGGCGGAAAGAAGAUGGCUACAUCUACGAAAAUUAUUUUAGUUAUUCGGACAAGGCAAGCGCUAAAAUAACUUCAGUAGAUGUAGCCAUCUUCUCUCCACCUCUGAUUUUCUUUUUCUGACUCCAGCAGGACGUCUGCAGCAGCGAUCCAGAGGAGCCUACAGCAUGACGGAGCUCAGAGACUCCCAGAAAAGACUGAGUAUCACGAGUCUUCAUGAGGAUUCAAAGUUCGUGUCAUGUGGGACGGGCAGAAGAAAUCCAGGUACUUCACUGUGUGGUCUCAGGUUUUACAACGUGGUGUGAAGCUCAAAGAGAAGCUGCGUCGUCUCUGGAGAGCAUGAGCGGAUAUUUACGAAAGCUUUUAAUUCUUAAUCUCCACUUGAGAGCCGUGAGGUUGAAUCCGGCGCCACACCCUGCGGAGGGUUAAAGCCGGAUUAUUUCCUGUUUAGAAAGACGGUCCAGCAGCAUUCGACAGAGGAAGGUGUGGACUUGUAAACUUUUGUUUCUCAUGAAAAUCUGCUGACCUUUCAGUCUUUAUAUCAACUUGAAAACCACGAACUCGUUCUGUUUGUUAAUCGGCUUCAUCGGCGUAGUUUGAAGGGCCGAGCUAAAAAAACCGAACAUAACUCACCGUCUCCUCCCGCCCAGAUUUUCCCAGCUGGUGAAGAAGUCAAAUUAAUGAUUCUAAUGAUUUUUAUGGGAGACGCGCAGCAGGAUUUAUAUGUGUUAUUGUCCGCCCUGACAGUUCAGGAUAAAUCUCUGUGGGUAGCAUCGGAUAAACUCUGCAUCAUCGUGUAUCUUCCCAGAAACAUUUUGUUUUUGACCCAGAAAGCAGCAGCAGUGGACGGAUAAAUGUGGAUCACAGGGUAAAUAUUUAGAUUUCUGGGACUGAUGGACGAGCCGAAGCCGUUCUCUUGGCUGGCCUUCCUCGCUGUCUCCCAUCCCAGGACACGGGAAACCAGUUAAAAAGACAUUUCCCAAACAUCCACGUCCAGAGCGCGAUGUAUUACCCUGACGUCAGCGAGCAUUACAUGUGAGCUGACACUGUGCAGCCUCCGAGGAGCACUUUACACCGAGGCUUGGAGGUGUCAGAUUCUCAAUUGGAGGAUAUCUCAUGUAAACUCCCACAGAGUGAGAUCGGAGAGAUGAGCGCAGGAGAGCUCGGCGUGAUGUUCAGCAGAGGUUUGACAUGUGGGGAAGCUGAAAUCGAACAUUCAUCAGAGCGGGCCGGGGUUCUUCUGCAGGGGGAGGAAACGGCCAGAAGGAUGGAGGAACAUUCAGCAUGUGUUUUUUUUUUCACUCUGAGCUCCGCUUUUUCAGCCUGGAUGGAUUUAAAGUCGAGUACUUAUAUUAUACACCUUUAAGUUCAGAUAUGUGACCUCGGACAUGCACCAUUUUUACUCUUUAAUUUCAUGUAGAACACUCGACCCUCAGCUGAAUUAAUACAUACAAAGAAACAUUUGAAACUGUUAUAUUAUGUUCAUCACGCCAAGAAUUGAAGACGCACAGUUUCACUAAAAAACUGCAUCACAUCUCAGCACUUUCAUUAGAUUUACCCGUUUAUAGAAUAUGAAGUUUCUACCUUUAAAAAGUCCAUAAAUAAAAGUUAUUUCAUGUAAAUCAACAACCUCUCUCUUCCCCCUAAAACAUCACAAACUGUGUCUUUAAUAUUUUAAAGAAGAGCGUAUCAGAUUCAUCACGUCUAUGAAGACUGCAGAGUCUGUUUCUACUGUUGGAACAGAGUGUCAUGUUGGUUACAUGUUCUCUGUAUUUUAUUCACCUUUAGAGUCAAGUAGCUGCAGGAGAAGGUGUUGUGUUUGUCGUAAACUUGUGUUUUUAGUUCACAUUUGCAUUCAAUAAUACAGCGGAGGAGGAAGAAACUCCUCGCCUACGUGCCGUUAAUUAUAUUAUUAUAUUAUUAUAUUAUUAUUCAGUAAAUUAGGAACCCAGAAAACUCAGUUAUACCAUGAAUUCCCCUGAAUAUUUCCCUCUGCUCACAGAUCGGUUUGCAGAUGGAAAAAUUCAAACUAAAUUCAGGAGUAAAACGGUUCUAUUUGCAUGAAUACACCUUGAUAGUGUCAGGAAAGUACGGAGCCCCUGAAGGGACAUGAAUGGAAAAAACAAAAAAUCUCAAGAUUUUUGUUGUGAGAUCUCCCAAAUGUUUUAUCAGGAAUAUUUGGUCAGUGUUUUAUUUCUGAAGCGCGCUCGCUGAUGUUGAAACUGUCGAACAAAUGUCGAAGCUGUCAAAAACCGCGAAGGGCAAAGAACUGCCGAGCAGUCACGAAGAUGGCUGGUAGAGGAAGUGACGAAUGUUUCAUACAUGCGCGGUACAAAUCGGGUUUCAGGGAUGGAUCCUGUAGCGACAAUGUUCACGAAUUUAAUUUUAAACUCGUUUGCUGCCCACCUUUUCCCUCUGCACACACAGAAGGUCCUCGUUCAGGACGUGUUUUAGAUAGAUAGAUAGAGAACUUUAUUAAUCCCCGAGGGGAAAUUCUGUGUUUUAUAAGAAAACAGUUCCUGCAGACAUUAAAACUGAUUUAAUAUCUUUUUAAAUAAGAUGAAAUGAACCUCUCCUAUCGUUUGGGUUAACUCGACACUAAUCUGUAAUCUUUUUACUUUUCACCCUAUGACAACUUUGUGAGAUCUCAUAAUAGUUUUGCAUGAUUACAUAUAAGAUGUCAAGAAAACCCUUUUUUAUUUUUCUUCCUUUAUGUCCCUUUAGGGGCUCCGUAGUACAGGAAAGGAUUUAUAUGGACUGUUGUGUUAGGAGGGAAAAAACAGAUAAAUGUCAUUUUAGUGUCAAACUUCUUGGUAAAUAAAUUCAGAUUCAGAUUUUAAUAUUUGCACAUCUCCAAAUAAAAAUAUAAAUCUUUUGUAGCAUUCCUGUCUGAAUGUCUGUGAAAGAUUUUCUUUUAUGGCGCCGUUUGAGUCAGGAGGAAUAAUGAGGGGAGGUCUGCUCUGAUAGAUUCUCUCCGUUCAGUCGCUCCUCCACUUCUCCUAAAGGUCGGUGUUGUUGGAAAAAACCUCUUUUUUUGGUCCACUGUACUAACUCACAUGACAAAAUUCACCCAAGAUGAACUCGGCUUCAAAUCAGGAUGACUUCAUCCUCUUCAGUGAAUCCAAAACCCUGAGGUGAUCCCAGUGGAAAUAACUGAUAUCAGUGUGGAUCUUCACAGCCUUCAGAGCCAAAACUCAGCCCUCUAACUCAACCGGAGUGGAUCAGGUCCAACAGGAGGCGCCGUCAGAUCCUUACAGGGGAAUCCAACGAGUCAAAGUAAAUCAGAGUCAACUCUGAGGAACCGUUUUCAGACCUGAGCUGGUUCUGAACCCGGCUGUAAAUGUGUUUAUGUUGGCUCAGUGUGGACCUGUGGUUUCUGCUGCUUCUUUACACUGCCUCUAGUGGACACUCAGGGUACUGCAGCGUGUUCAUGUCAAGGUUCAGUUUGUUUUAAGCAUACUAAGGAGAUCCGUCCCUCUGUGGUCAGGGCAGCAGCAGAUUCCUUGAAUAAAUGAAUGAACAUCAGCAGCUUUUUCACCGUUUAACGACUCUCUGAGGUUCAUAUUUGACAGGGUUUGGAUUUCUGGGUUUGCACAGAUUGAGUGUUUGCACAUUAAGCAGCAGGAGACAGUCAGAGGGUUAAACUCUUCUUCUCUGACUCUGUUGCAGGAUGUCCGGACAUGUGCAUUUGCAGCAUUAGUCACUGAAGUAGGAGUAUUAGCGGUUGCAUUGGUGGUUGUUGUUUCAGCAGCAGUGAUAUAAGUCUCUCUCUCUCUCUCUCUCUCUCUCCCUCUCUCCCUCUCUCUCUCUCUCUCUCUGGGUGCAGGCAGCCUGUCUGGACCUGUCAGUCCUCUGCAGGCCCAGAAGAUCGACCUCUGAUAGGAGGAGCCACUCUACCCGAUGGACCAAUCACAGGAGACGUGUGAGGGAGGAGCAGCUUCUGCAGCAACACGAGGUUGUUGUGAUAGAGAGAGAGAGAGAGAGA
rnacentral:lncRNA from 1 species